AUGUUCUCUGUAGCUCUCCUGCUGCUGCUGGCUGCUGGAUCCUGUGUGAAGUGUGAACAGCUGACACAGCCAGCCUCUGUGACUGUUCACCCAGGUCAACGUCUGACCAUCAGCUGUCAGGUCUCUUAUUCUAUGAGCAGCUAUGCAACUGACUGGAUCAGACAGCCUGCAGGGAAAGGACUGGAGUGGAUUGGGGGGAAAUAUACUGGAGGUUCAGACUACAAAGACUCACUGAAGAACAAGUUCAGUAUUGACUUAGACACUUCCAGUAAAACAGUGACUCUGAAUGGACAGAAUAUGCAGCCUGAGGACUCUGCUGUGUAUUACUGUGCCAGAAACGACCACAGUGACACAAACCAGCAGCACAGCUGUACAAAAACCCCUCAGAGUCGGAACAGGUUAUAUGAAACGACCAGAGGAGGCGCUCCAACACAAUUCAUUGUUGAACUCUUAAAAGUCUCUUAUGAUCUGAGCGACUGGACAGCUUGGAUCAGACAGGCUGCAGGGAAAGGACUGGAGUGGAUUGGGAUGAACGAUAUUUAUGGAAAUUCACGCUACAAAGAUUCACUGAAGAACAAGUUCAGUAUCGACGUAGACACCUCCAGCAGCACAGUGACUCUAAACGGACAGAAUAUGCAGCCUGAAGACUCUGCUGUGUAUUACUGUGCUAGAGUAGACGACAGUGACACAGUGACACAGUGA